GUUUCACCGUAGUUUAGUAUUUCUUCCAGAUUACUCUUUGAUAAUAUUUUAAAAUCAUUAAAAAUCUGAUUUUCUUAGAUUUAAAAAGUGAAUAUCUUUUUAUAGAUAUUCUCAUAGGUAGAAAAUGUACAUAGCACAUAAAGUCAUUCUUAAAAAACUGUUCUACAGUGGAUACUACUAAUUGUAAUAGUGUUAACUAGAUUUGUAGUUAUAAUAUUUUGACUGCCUUUCAGAAAACUUGGUAACAAAUAUUCUGGAGGUUCCAUUAGUUGCCUUAAGUCUUAAAAAAUAUAUUCAAGGUAGUACCUUAAAUGUCUUCUCAGUUUUCUUGUGGCAGAUAUACCUGGCAUUGUUCUGAGUUUAAGCUGAGCUUAAAGUGGAGGAUACUUACUGGAUGAUAAUGAUGUUAUUGCUCCCACAGAAAGUGUUUCUGAAAGUAAGGUCAGGUACUCCA
rnacentral:lncRNA from 1 species